UGGGGGAUAUUGCACAAUGGGGGAAACCCUGAUGCAGCGACGCCGCGUGAGUGAAGAAGUAUUUCGGUAUGUAAAGCUCUAUCAGCAGGAAAGAUAAUGACGGUACCUGACUAAGAAGCACCGGCUAAAUACGUGCCAGCAGCCGCGGUAAUACGUAUGGUGCAAGCGUUAUCCGGAUUUACUGGGUGUAAAGGGAGCGCAGACGGCAUGGCAAGCCAGAUGUGAAAGGUGGGGCUCAACCCCCAAGCUGCAUUUGGAACUGUCAAGCUAGAGUAUCGGAGAGGUAAGUGGAAUUCCUAGUGUAGCGGUAGAA
rnacentral:rRNA from 1 species